ACGGGUGAGUAAUAUAUCGGAACGUGCCCUAGAGUGGGGGAUAACUAGUCGAAAGACUAGCUAAUACCGCAUACGAUCUAAGGAUGAAAGUGGGGGAUCGCAAGACCUCAUGCUCCUGGAGCGGCCGAUAUCUGAUUAGCUAGUUGGUGGGGUAAAAGCCUACCAAGGCGACGAUCAGUAGCUGGUCUGAGAGGACGACCAGCCACACUGGGACUGAGACACGGCCCAGACUCCUACGGGAGGCAGCAGUGGGGAAUUUUGGACAAUGGGGGCAACCCUGAUCCAGCAAUGCCGCGUGAGUGAAGAAGGCCUUCGGGUUGUAAAGCUCUUUUGUCAGGGAAGAAACGGUUUUGGCUAAUAUCCAGAACUAAUGACGGUACCUGAAGAAUAAGCACCGGCUAACUACGUGCCAGCAGCCGCGGUAAUACGUAGGGUGCAAGCGUUAAUCGGAAUUACUGGGCGUAAAGCGUGCGCAGGCGGUUGUGUAAGACAGAUGUGAAAUCCCCGGGCUCAACCUGGGAAUUGCAUUUGUGACUGCACGGCUAGAGUGUGUCAGAGGGGGGUAGAAUUCCACGUGUAGC
rnacentral:rRNA from 1 species